rnacentral:rRNA from 1 species
ACGCUCGACACCUACGGGGGGCAGCAGUGGGGAAUAUUGCACAAUGGGGGAAACCCUGAUGCAGCGACGCCGCGUGAAGGAAGAAGUAUCUCGGUAUGUAAACUUCUAUCAGCAGGGAAGAAAAUGACGGUACCUGACUAAGAAGCCCCGGCUAACUACGUGCCAGCAGCCGGGUAAUCUGAGCGGGCUGGCAAGGC